AGAACGAACGCUGGCGGCAUGCCUAACACAUGCAAGUCGAACGAAGCCUUCGGGCUUAGUGGCGCACGGGUGCGUAACGCGUGGGAAUCUGCCCCCUCGGUUCGGAAUAACAGUUGGAAACGACUGCUAAUACCGGAUGAUGACGAAAGUCCAAAGAUUUAUCGCCCAGGGAUGAGCCCGCGAAGGAUUAGCUAGUUGGUGAGGUAAAGGCUCACCAAGGCGACUAUCCUUAGCUGGUCUGAGAGGAUGAUCAGCCACACUGGGACUGAGACACGGCCCAGACUCCGUACGGGAGCAGCAGUAGGGAAUAUUGGACAAGUGGGCGACAAGCCUAGACUCCAGACAAUCGACCGCGGUGAGUGAGU
rnacentral:rRNA from 1 species